AGAAGGGACUCUUCCCUCAUGGGCCUCUGUCCUGCAGACUAUGGCAUGUAUCGUAUGUGGGUGGAUGCAUUUAGCCAUUGCAGGAGGUGUGGUCUUUUCCGCUGGGCUGUUUGGCUUCCCACGGUUAGGCUCUUGGUAAAUUUUGGAAACAAAUGGCUGUAUAUAUCGUACAUUAAUCCUUGGGAAGAGGGCUUUACCAUGUUGUAAAUGUAGCCUCUAGAUCCGUACAGCAGUUCGAUUCUAAUGAUUUAGAUGAGUCUGAAAGACGCGUACACUUGGCGUGUAAUCACACUAUUCUUUCAGAGCUUGAGAUUUUCCUUUGCAGCUGUUUACCUCAAGUUUGUCUUCCGUUUUCUCUCCUUUUCCUCUUUCUCAACUGCUCUAGCCUCUAUGAAACGAGCCCCGCUCCCAGUACGAGUUUCUGGAGCUCGGUGCCGGUGCCGAGGCCCGUCCGUUGCCUCGUCCCCUUGCCGUGCAGCCAGCCAGCCGGCUGCGCCUUCCGUUACCCUCAGUCCCCACGGGGCGGCUUCGGGGGCCGCCGCGGGGAGCCAGCCCUCCUCUCCCCGUAUCGCCCCUACACGGUCGCCCACCCGUGGGGGCCUUCCGCUUCUGCCCCGCGGUCCCCAGGCAUCUCCACUCUGUCCAGCUCGCCCGGCCGCCCUGCCCUCGCUAGUAGCCCUCAAGCAGUGCCUGCCAGCUCUCCCAGCCAGAGACCCCUCCAGCCUGGGCCCACCUUUACUGGCCGCCUCGCCCAGUGCCGCGAGCAGACGCCCCUCAUCCCUAAGGACCUCUCCUAGCAUGCACGACAAUCCUUUUCUCCUUCCUCUUCCUCGCGCUUUCUGGCGACAGUAGUGAUGACGAUUGAAGAAGAUGAUGAUGAUGGUGAUGAUGGUGAUGAUGAAGGUGGUGGUGGUGGUGAUGAGUUUUCUUGUGUCCAGUUUGGGUCCAGGUAUCAGAGGAAUGGAGUCUCACCCCUGCAUGUGCCUAUGUGCUUAGGAACUAACUUUUGUGAGCCCUCAUUAGGGGUGUUGCUUUGAGUCUAGACAGGAUAGGGUCAGAUGAGACAGUCGGGAAGAGUUAAGACUGGGAAAACCUGCAUGUACCGAGGUGGUAGGGACCUUAUCACGGGGUAAAGUGGCACAUUAGGAACACCCUCAUUGUUGUUGCCCGGUAAUUUAGAGGAAAACUUACGUGUAAUCAUUGGUCGAAAUACAAGCAGCAGAUUAAAGAUCGGUUGUCGAGUUCACCCACCCUGAGAUCAGAAACGAGGGGCCCUUCGUUUACCAUAUCGCGAGUGUUCUUGUGAGCUGCCGGAUAUGAGCAACAUGUAUUCCGUGAGGCAUGUUUCUUACCAUACAGUUUGCAUGGAUUGCUGCUACUUACGAAUGGCAGAGGGGCCGGGAUGGCGUGUGUGUGUGUGUGUGUGCGUGUCUGUUUCCCCCCCCCUUUUCCCGCCCCCACUCUGUCUGACGGUCAGUCUGUCGAAGAGCAUGUUGGGCCACAUUGUCUGUUAUAAACCGUGAAUUUGGUUCACUUUUAGCCUUCAACUUCACCAGUCACCACCUUGGCCUCAGCGAAGCUAGACCCUUGUUUAGACAGCCUUUGGAAUGGCAGCAGAGGCUAAAACACAGUUCACGAUGCUGCUGACUGUUCGUUCCCCCCUGAAAACCUGAAACCCCCCCCCUGAAAACCCUGAAAACACUGUUUGGGGUUCUAGGUGACUUUGGGCAAGAAAAUAUAAUAGCACCUUCUUUCUGAACCUCUGACUCAUUGUCUUACAAUUUUGCUCUGAAAUCGAAGUUUCCACUGGACUGACUUGGUAUUUGUGCCCAGCACUGUUCAAAAUAACUCCAGGCUAUAAAUAGAGGACAGCAGUAGGAGUUAGGUACACUUCAUUAAAUUUGACAGUGUUCAGAAGAAUCAUUAGAGAGGAGUAUAUAAAGAGAGAAAGAGUGUGGGUGCAAGGUUGAAUAUUGAUUCAGGAGGGUUGAUAUUUGUAUUAGGUUGAACAUUAUAUUACUGUUUUCUCAAGUAAAUUUCCCAAAGGUAGAAGUGUCUUUUUCAUGUAGAUAAAAUCCUACUUCCCGAUUACAGUAAUGCGGCAGGCAUCCUUUUUUUUUUUCUUUAAUGUUUAUUCAUCCAUUUUUGAGAGAGAGAGAGAGAGACAGAGAGCACGAGCGGGGGAGGGACAGAGAGAGAGAGAGAGGAAGGCACCGAAUCCGAAACAGGCUCCAGGCUCUGAGCUGUUAGCACAGAGCCUGACACGGGGCUCGAACUCACAAACCGUAAGAUCAUGCCCUGAGCAAAGUUGGAUGUUUAACCAUCUGAGCCCCCGAGCCCCCGAGCAGGCAUCCUUUUUAGGAGUCAGUUUCCAUACAUGAUAAAAGUGCUUUGUUACCUGUCUUACUGUAAAUUGUAGGAGAAAU
ensembl:lncRNA